AUUGGGUGUAGUGGUCUGCUUGUAGUUCCAGCUACUUGGGAGGCUGAGGGAGGAGGAUCGCUUGAGUCCAGGAAUUUUGGGUUGUAGUGUGCUAUGCCUAUCAGUUGUCUGCACUAAGUUUGUCAUCAAUUUCAUGUCCUCCUGGGAACAGGAGACCGACAGGUUUCCUAAGGAGAGGUGAACCAGCCUAAGUUGGAAACAGAGCAAGUCAAAACUGCCGUACUGGUCAGUAGUGGGAUCUCACCUGUAAAUAGCUACUGCAUUCCAGCCUGGGCAACAUAGUGAGAUCCUGUCUCU
ensembl:misc_RNA Metazoa_SRP Metazoan signal recognition particle RNA